GACGAACGCUGGCGGCGUGCCUAAUACAUGCAAGUAGAACGCUGAAGGAGGAGCUUGCUUCUCUGGAUGAGUUGCGAACGGGUGAGUAACGCGUAGGUAACCUGCCUGGUAGCGGGGGAUAACUAUUGGAAACGAUAGCUAAUACCGCAUAAUAGCAGUUGUUGCAUGAUAACUGUUUGAAAGGUGCAAUUGCACCACUACCAGAUGGACCUGCGUUGUAUUAGCUAGUUGGUGGGGUAACGGCUCACCAAGGCGACGAUACAUAGCCGACCUGAGAGGGGGAUCGGCCACACUGGGACUGAGACACGGCCCAGACUCCUACGGGAGGCAGCAGUAGGGAAUCUUCGGCAAUGGACGGAAGUCUGACCGAGCAACGCCGCGUGAGUGAAGAAGGUUUUCGGAUCGUAAAGCUCUGUUGUAAGAGAAGAACGAGUGUGAGAGUGGAAAGUUCACACUGUGACGGUAGCUUACCAGAAAGGGACGGCUAACUACGUG
rnacentral:rRNA from 1 species